AUUGAACGCUGGCGGCAGGCUUAACACAUGCAAGUCGAGCGAGCGGCGGACGGGUGAGUAAUGUCUGGGAAACUGCCAGAUGGAGUGGGAUAACUACUGGAAACGGUCGCUAAUACCGCAUACAAUCAGAUGUGCCCCGAUGGGAUUAGCUAGUAGUUGGGGUAAUGGCUCACCUAGGCGACGAUCCCUAGCUGGUAUGAAAGGAUGAACAGCCACACUGGAACUGAGACACGGUCAAGACGCCUACGGGUGGCAGCAGUGGGGAAGAGUGCACGAUGGGCGCAAGCCUGAUGCAGCCAUGCAGGGUGUAUGAAGAAGGCCUUCGGGUGGUAAAGCACUUUCAGCGAGGCGGUGUUACUCGCAGAAGAAGCACCGGCUAACUCCGGGCCAGCAGCCGCGGUAAUAC
rnacentral:rRNA from 1 species